GACAGAGGAUGCAAGCGUUAUCCGGAAUGAUUGGGCGUAAAGCGUCUGUAGGUGGCUUUUUAAGUCUGCCGUCAAAUCCCAGGGCUUAACCCUGGACAGGCGGUGGAAACUACCAAGCUGGAGUACGGUAGGGGCAGGGGGAAUUUCCGGUGGAGCGGUGAAAUGCGUAGAGAUCGGAAAGAACACCAACGGCGAAAGCACUCUGCUGGGCCGACACUGACGCUGAGGAGCGAAAGCGUGGGGAGCAAACAGG
rnacentral:rRNA from 1 species